rnacentral:piRNA from 1 species
AAUUGGGUAUGAGGUGAGGUAAAGGAGAAG